UACGUAGGGUGCAAGCGUUGUCCGGAAUUAUUGGGCGUAAAGAGCUUGUAGGCGGUUUGUCGCGUCUGCUGUGAAAUUUCGGGGCUCAACCCCGAACUUGCAGUGGGUACGGGCAGACUAGAGUGUGGUAGGGGAGACUGGAAUUCCUGGUGUAGCGGUGAAAUGCGCAGAUAUCAGGAGGAACACCGAUGGCGAAGGCAGGUCUCUGGGCCACUACUGACGCUGAGAAGCGAAAAGCAUGGGGGAGC
rnacentral:rRNA from 1 species